rnacentral:rRNA from 1 species
UACGUAGGAGACGAGCGUUGUUCGGAAUUACUGGGCGUAAAGGGCGCGUAGGCGGCCUUCUAAGUCGAACGUGAAAUCCCCGGGCUCAACCCGGGAACUGCGUCCGAUACUGGAAGGCUUGAAUCCGGGAGAGGGAUGCGGAAUUUCAGGUGUAGCGGUGAAAUGCGUAGAUAUCUGGAGGAACACCGGUGGCGAAGGCGGCAUCCUGGACCGGCAUUGACGCUGAGGCGCGAAAGCCAGGGGAGCAAACGGG